UACGAAGGGGGCUAGCGUUGCUCGGAAUCACUGGGCGUAAAGCGCACGUAGGCGGCUUCUUAAGUCAGGGGUGAAAGCCUGGAGCUCAACUCCAGAACUGCCUUUGAUACUGAGGAGCUUGAGUCCGGGAGAGGUGAGUGGAACUGCGAGUGUAGAGGUGAAAUUCGUAGAUAUUCGCAAGAACACCAGUGGCGAAGGCGGCUCACUGGCCCGGUACUGACGCUGAGGUGCGAAAGCGUGGGUAGCAAACAGG
rnacentral:rRNA from 1 species